rnacentral:rRNA from 1 species
UACGUAGGGUGCAAGCGUUGUCCGGAAUCAUUGGGCGUAAAGCGCGCGUAGGUGGCUUUGUAAGUCCGUUGUGAAAGUCAAAGGCUCAACCUUUGAAUGCCGAUGGAUACUGCGGAGCUAGAGUACGGAAGAGGCGAGUGGAAUUCCCGGUGUAGCGGUGAAAUGCGCAGAUAUCGGGAGGAACACCGGUGGCGAAGGCGGUUCUCUGGGCCUUACCUGACGCUGAGGAGCGAAAGCGUGGGGAGCGAACAGG